rfam:Candidate division Zixibacteria bacterium RBG-1 RBG1_1C00001, whole genome shotgun sequence.
GGCCCCAUCGUCUAGUGGCCUAGGACGGGUGGUUCUCAGCCAUCAAACCCGGGUUCGACUCCCGGUGGGGCUA